rnacentral:rRNA from 1 species
AAACACUGCCAUAUCACCCUGCAGCCCAAGACCGGUUACUCACUGAAGCUAAGCAGGGCUGAGCCUGGUUAGUACCUGGAUGGGAGACCACUAGGGAACACUAGGUUGCUGUUGGAA